UACGUAGGGUGCGAGCGUUAAUCGGAAUUACUGGGCGUAAAGCGUGCGCAGGCGGUUCGUUGUGUCGGUGGUGAAAUCCCCGGGCUUAACCUGGGAAUGGCCAUGGAAACUGGCGAACUGGAGUGCGGCAGAGGGGGGUGGAAUUCCGCGUGUAGCAGUGAAAUGCGUAGAGAUGCGGAGGAACACCGAUGGCGAAGGCGGCUAACUGGUCCGGUUCUGACGCUGAGGCGCGAAAGCGUGGGGAGCAAACAGG
rnacentral:rRNA from 1 species